rnacentral:rRNA from 1 species
UCAGUAACGCGUGGCUAACCUACCCUCAGGACGGAGACAACCCCGGGAAACUGGGACUAAUAACCGAUAGGCGAGGAGGCCUGGAAUGGUUUCUCACCUAAAAAACUUUGAGAACAUGCUUUCAUUGUUGCCUGAGGAUGGGGCCGCGCCCGAUCAGGUUGUUGGUGAGGUAAUGGCUCACCAAGCCUAUAACCGGUACGGGCCGUGAGAGCGGUAGCCCGGAGAUGGGUACUGAGACAAGGACCCAGGCCCUACGGGGCGCAGCAGUCGCGAAAACUCCGCAAUGCACGAAAGUGUGACGGGGCUACCCCGAGUGCUCUCCGCUGAGGAAAGCUUUUCCUUGGUAUAACUAGCCANGGGGAAUAAGGAGAGGGCAAGACUGUGUCAGCCGCCGCGGUAA